rnacentral:rRNA from 1 species
UACGGAGGGUGCGAGCGUUGUCCGGAAUCACUGGGCGUAAAGGGCGCGUAGGCGGCCUGCUAAGUCGAACGUGAAAUCCCUCGGCUUAACCGGGGAACUGCGUCUGAUACUGGAUGGCUUGAGAUUGGGAGAGGGAUGCGGAAUUCCAGGUGUAGCGGUGAAAUGCGUAGAUAUCUGGAGGAACACCGGUGGCGAAGGCGGCAUCCUGGACCAACACUGACACUGAGGAGCGAAAGCCAGGGGAGCAAACGGG